CGUUUUGAGCGCUCGCAGCACGCGAAACGUGCGCAGCCCGGCGAGAUUGCCGACCUCCAUGCCUAUCGUCGCGUACCCGCUGGAGAUGACGACAAAAUCGAGCCAAUUCCACGGAUUCCGAAGGUGUAUAUGGCUAAAAAAACAUACCUAAAACAAACAAAUUGGAAAAUAUUAAUCCUAGCAAAUAUUAUUUGUAUGUUACGCUUUCACGCAAGAACUACUGGAACAAUUUUGAGAAAAUGUGGCAUGGAGCUAACUUUAAUAUCGAAGAAUAAAAUAUGCAACAUUAUGUUUUAAAAAUAUAA